rnacentral:rRNA from 1 species
CAGCCGCCGCGGUAAUGCGUAGGGUGCGAGCGUUAAUCGGAAUUACUGGGCGUAAAGCGUGCGCAGGCGGUUGUGUAAGACAGGUGUGAAAUCCCCGGGCUUAACCUGGGAACUGCGCUUGUGACUGCACAGCUAGAGUAUGGCAGAGGGGGGUGGAAUUCCACGUGUAGCAGUGAAAUGCGUAGAGAUGUGGAGGAACACCGAUGGCGAAGGCAGCCCCCUGGGCCAAUACUGACGCCCAUGCACGAAAGCGUGGGGAGCAAACAGGAUUAGAUACCCCCGUAGUCCCUGUCUCUUAUAC